UGUUCAGUUGAUUGAAUUUAGCCUUCGCCCUGACAGCCAGUGUGACAGACGUCGCGCGACAUUGUUUAGGUUGCUGCCAAUCAGGCUACUUUUGUUUUAUUGAUUAUAGCAGAAGGCAAAUUUGAUGGCAGUGUGCGGGCGGGGCAGGUAAAAUCCAACGGGAGAAUAGCCGUGGACUACACCUUGGGAAGUAAGCGAACGGUUUUUUUUUUUACAGUUAUUUGUUCAUCACGGAAGUGGAAAUAAUAAUUGGAAGAAUCUGUGACUGUUACCAUACCCCAGCAAGAACAAUGCUUCCACUAGUUGUUGGAUUUUGUAUAUUUUGCCUUCUAUCUGGCCCCCAGGAAGCUCAAGCCAUCUCAGAUAUUGCUAAGAGAGGUUGGUCCAAGGUGUUUCCAGUGGAGCAGCUGCCUGAGGAGAUAAAUGUCACCUCAGUUAAAUGGAAACACAACGGGAACAUAGCUGCAGAAUGGGAAGAAGGAGACGAGGGACCAACUUACUAUGGCAUCUUCAACUCCACGGCUACCCUGGAUAUGAAAACCUGGGCCCUGACCAUCUCAAACCUGCAGCCUGGCUUCAGCGGAAAGUAUUCCGUUGAGAUUAAUUACAAGGGUCCCACUAAUCUCUUGACCCUUACUGUAGUCGAUGCUGAUGCUGUUUAUAGGGUUAAAGGACAGUAUGUCACCCUAAAAGCAAAAGCACAGAAUGUACAGGGCCACAUUGCUCAGUGGACACUCAAUAACACUGUCAUUGCAGACAGAGAUGAAGAAACGCAUCAGACCGCAUACAAGAACAUGAAGUUUGACAAUGAAACUCUGUCUCUAACCAUCUCAGAUCUUCUAGCAAAUCACAGUGGCCUAUAUGCAUUCAAGUUGAAUAACGACAACAAAGGGAUAUAUCAACUUAUUGUUCGUGAUGCUAUGGUGGAGCUCAGGAUUACGAAACACUGCAACUCUACCAGCUGCACCCUAAACUGCACAGGGGUGAAUGAUGAAAACACUCAGGUCAGCUGGACUAAUAACAAAGGGGGAAAGAUGUUUGGUCCAGUUUGGGUUCUAGAGAAGAGUCCACACCUGGAUGUGAUCUACAACUGCUCCAGUGACUCAGGGAGCUGGAAGACUGAGAGUGUCUCAGAGACAGACUACUCAAUCUCAGGAAAUACAGAAUCUAACUGGAAAAAAAUACAGGGACCUGUUGUGGCUGGUCUUGUGCUUUUAGCAGUUGGAGUUGGAGUUGGUGUUGGUGUUGUACUGUACAAGAAAAGGAGAGCAAGAAAUACAAGGCUGCAUCAGCAGGAUCAAAAUCAAAAUGGAUUUGAGCUGUUACCAAACAACGUCCACCAAGAGGAAGAGGAAAAGGGAAAGGAAGAGUGUCCACUGAAUGAUCGAGGGACAGAGGGAAAUCCUAAAGAUGAAGUUAAAUUUGAAGAUUAAGAUUCUGUGGAGCUGUUUCCAUAAAAGCUGCAGGGGCGGCCCUUUGGACGCGGCAGAGAAGACGCACACAGGAUAAGAGGUCCCCACGGAGCGGCCGGACGGGCAGGCGAGCGGACUGGACCACGUCGGCGAAGGCGCCUCCCGACGGACUGGGAGGCGAGCGCGGGGCUAGGCCCAAGAUGUCCCAAGGAACCGGGAAUUGCGCGCUGGGUCUGAGGCCCCACAUCGGCGCUGCACCAAGCAAGGGGAGCAACCAUCUGCCAUGCCUAGGGCAUGUGAACUGAACCGAACGUAUAAACCCAACAUCUGGGAUGAGCCUCUUCACUCUUCUUAUGGGUUAUGGACUUCACCAGUGGACCAUGAAAUGUCAAUACAGUAAUUUCCUGUAUUAGCCGCAUUGUGUAUAACCUGCAGGACAGUGUUUCAUGCAAGUUAAAAAGAAACAAAACGAUUUACCAUAUAAACUGCCCCCAUGUAUUAACCUCGUAGCUGAAGAAAUUUAGCAAAAUCAAUGUAUAAACUGCGGCUAAUAGCGGGAAAUUACGAUAGGGAACAAUAUCCUUAAGCUGCAUCAGGGUGCUGUGUGUCUACGACUAUUCACUGUCUUAACUUUUGAGUAAUCCCCGCCCAAAACUUUUGUGAAGUUUACUUGUGACCCUGCUGGGGAUGGGAUAGUACAAGCACGACACUUUUGAAUAGUAUGCCUUCAACGGUUUAAUGUUCAGAUUGCAUACCUGACCUUUGGUAGCCUACAUCUGUCAUUUUCUAUCAUUUUCAAAACCUGCUUAAACCUUAGCGCAGCUAACUGCACCAGACUGCACACAUUGGAGCCUACAUUCAUGAAACAUCUCUGGAGUCUGUUAGCACUACCCUGCAUCCUGAGGCAUCUCUGAAAUAGCAGUUCAGUAAAAAAAACUCAACAAAGCUGACACUUAAAAAUAAAACACUUGAAAGUGAUAGGGACAAUGUGAAAUGAACUUAAAUUGUGACCCAAAACACUGAUUGUUUGACAUUGUUGCUAUAGGUCAGAUCUGUGGAUUUUAAGAUCAAGCCAAGGCAUUUCUUCUUUAGGCAACUUGAAUAGACCACCAAACGUACCUCUUAGUGCCCUCUCUGACGCAUCCUCUUCCACUCAGUCAUAGAGCGGUACACCACCUGCACUGAACUGGAAAGACUUGAACUGAUUGCACGUCCGCACUGACAUUUUUAUGUACAGUAUAUCUCUAUUGUAACUGGUCUUUGCUGCCAAUAAUGACAAUCUAACUAGGCCUUUUUUAGCUUCUAUAUGAGGAAAGAACAACACAAUGAAGUAGAGAGAUCAAUCAGGGUUCCCACUCUAAAUAAAAUGUAAAAUAAUAAAGUAUAAUGAUGUGCCCACCAUACAUAAUGCUUUAGUUGUUCAUGUAUAAACUCACAAAUAACAGACUAUUACUACUAUUAAACUUUAAAUAGUAAAUUCCUGAUGAUGCAUGAGAUAUGAAGGAAUGAAGUAAUACAUACAGUACAUCGUGAAUUAAUGAAAUAAAUAAAUGCAUAAAUUCACAAUAAUUCAUGUAGGCCUAUCUUACUGUAAAGUGUU